UACGGAGGGCGCAAGCGUUGUUCGGAAUCACUGGGCGUAAAGGGCGUGUAGGCGGUCAGGCAAGUCGGAUGUGAAAGCCCUGGGCUCAACCCGGGAAUUGCACACGAAACUGCUUGGCUAGAGUUCCGGAGAGGAAGGCGGAAUUCCCAGUGUAGGGGUGAAAUUCGUAGAUAUUGGGAAGAAUACCAGAGGCGAAGGCGGCCUUCUGGACGGUGACUGACGCUGAGACGCGAAAGCGUGGGUAGCAAACAGG
rnacentral:rRNA from 1 species